UGGGGAAUCUUGCGCAAUGGGCGAAAGCCUGACGCAGCGACGCCGCGUGCGGGAAGAAGGCCUUCGGGUUGUAAACCGCUUUCAGGAGGGACGAAGCUCCUCGGGCUAAUACCCCAGAGGGUGACGGUACCUCCAGAAGAAGCCCCGGCUAACUACGUGCCAGCAGCCGCGGUAAUACGUAGGGGGCAAGCGUUGUCCGGAUUUAUUGGGCGUAAAGCGCGUGUAGGCGGCUUGAUAGGUCCGCUGUGAAAACUCGAGGCUCAACCUCGAGCUGUCGGCGGAAACCAUCUAGCUAGAGUCCGGAAGAGGAGAGCGGAAUUCCUGGUGUAGCGGUGAAAUGCGCAGAUAUCAGGAAGAACACCCGUGGCGAAGGCGGCUCUCUGGGACGGUACUGACGCUGAGACGCGAAAGCGUGGGGAGCGAACAGGAUUAGAUACCCCCGUAGUCC
rnacentral:rRNA from 1 species